AGAAAAGAGAGAAAAGAGGGAGGGAGGAGGGCUAUGGGUGGAGCUGCAGAGGAACAGUCCAGGGUUUGUUUGCUGAUAUUAUUUUAAUGUCAGAACCCUGUUCCAAUGUAAGCAGCAUGGGAGUACUGGCCAUCACUUCAAUCAUAUCCAGGUCAAUAGCCGUACUGUUUUUGCCAUUGCCGUUAGACUUCUCAUUAAACGUGAAUCAAUAAAGGAAUUUGCAUCCUGGCAUCCCCCAGGCUGUCUGUGUUUAUGCUACUGUACAGUAAACGCUAAGUUCUAUCCUAUUACCUCCAACAGACACGCCAUUCAUACAGACAGUACUGCAGGUCUGUGGCCCCAGCUCUCCGACCAAUACCUGCGGCAUCAUGGAUAACCCUGGUGGAUUGUCUAGCCUCCUCUCCACUGAGACAUUGGGGAAGGAGUUUAUAGAACUGUUGGAAUUCGGACCCUCCAAAAACUAUUCUGUCUCAAAAUGUUGUUUUCUCUAGCCCUCCUCUUCCUGCUAACCCCGUUUCCCUCCCUUCAAACUCCAGUAACCUAUGAGAAAAGAAAUGCCACAGGAACAGGAAGUGAACCCAAACCCUACGUCCUACUCACCCUCUCCCUCACAAAACCAAAAACCGCAGCCACGCUCGUCAAAGUCACCAAAGAGACCCCUAAGCCCACUCCGAAAGUCCUAAGCCCAACUGCAGCCAAUCAGACACAUCCAGCCCCCACAAACCCCCUCAAACCUCCAACAGCCACGUUCAUCAAACUCACCAAAGAGACCCCUAAGCCCACUCCAAAAGCCCUAAGCCCAACUGCAGCCAAUCAGACACAUCCAGCCCCCUCGACCCCCCUCAAGCCUCCAACAGCCACGUUCAUCAAACUCACCAAAGAGACCCCUAAGCCCACUCCAAAAGCCCUAAGCCCAACUGCAGCCAAUCAGACACAUCCAGCCCCCUCGACACCCCUCAAGCCUCCAAUAGCCACAUUCAUCAAACUCACCAAAGAGACCCCUAAGCCCACUCCAAAAGCCCUAAGCCCAACUGCAGCCAAUCAGACACAUCCUGCCCCCUCGACCCCCCUCAAGCCUCCAACAGCCAUGCUCGUCAAACUCACCAAAGAGACCCCUAAGCCCACUCCGAAAGCCCUAAGCCCAACUGCAGCCAAUCAGACACAUCCUGCCCCCUCAAC
rnacentral:lncRNA from 1 species